GUGUGAGUACGCAUGACCGCUACAGUGAAACUACAAAGAGCUCAUUAAAUCAGUUAUGGUUCCUUUAAUUGCUUACUCUGUUACUUGGAUAACUGUGGUAAUUCUAGAGCUAAGAAAAUGCCAACGAGCGCAGACCCCCAUGGAUGUGUGUGCAUUUUUCAGACCAUCCGGGUCUGGAGGGAGUCAUGUUCUUGGGUUGCCAUGUUCUUUUCGCACUUUUCUUUCCACACCUUUUCUAAUAUACCAUGAUCCAUGAUGUGUACCAGGGUUUUUUCCCCUGAG